rnacentral:rRNA from 1 species
UACGAAGGGUGCUAGCGUUGUUCGGAAUUACUGGGCGUAAAGGGUGCGUAGGCGGGUCUUUAAGUCAGGGGUGAAAUCCUGGAGCUCAACUCCAGAACUGCCUUUGAUACUGAGGAUCUUGAGUUCGGGAGAGGUGAGUGGAACUGCGAGUGUAGAGGUGAAAUUCGUAGAUAUUCGCAAGAACACCAGUGGCGAAGGCGGCUCACUGGCCCGAUACUGACGCUGAGGCACGAAAGCGUGGGGAGCAAACAGG